rnacentral:rRNA from 1 species
AUACGGAGGGUCCAAGCGUUAUCCGGAUUCAUUGGGUUUAAAGGGUGCGCAGGCGGGCUUGUAAGUCAGUGGUGAAAUACUGCCGCUUAACGGUAGAACUGCCAUUGAUACUGCAAGUCUUGAAUAUGGUUGAGGUAGGCGGAAUGUGUUGUGUAGCGGUGAAAUGCAUAGAUAUGACACAGAACGCCAAUUGCGAAGGCAGCUUACUAAGCCAUUAUUGACGCUGAGGCACGAAAGCGUGGGGAGCGAACAGGAUUAGAUACCCGGGUAGUCC